UACGGAGGGUGCAAGCGUUGCUCGGAAUUAUUGGGCGUAAAGGGCAGGUAGGUGGUCUCAUUUGUCAGGGGUGAAAGCCUUGGGCUUAACUCAAGAAGUGCCCCUGAAACGGUGAGACUGGAGUUCUGGAGAGGGUCGUGGAAUUCCCGGUGUAGCGGUGAAAUGCGUAGAGAUCGGGAGGAACACCAGAGGCGAAGGCGGCGAUCUGGGUCGAUACUGACGCUGAGGUGCGAAAGCGUGGGGAGCAAACAGG
rnacentral:rRNA from 1 species